UACGUAGGCAGCGAGCGUUGUUCGGAGUUACUGGGCGCAAAGGGUGUGUAGGCGGUUGUUUAAGUUUGGUGUGAAAUCUCCCGGCUCAACUGGGAGGGUGCGCCGAAUACUGAAUGACUUGGAGUGCGGGAGAGGAAAGUGGAAUUCCUGGUGUAGCGGUGAAAUGCGUAGAUAUCAGGAGGAACACCGGUGGUGUAGACGGCUUUCUGGACCGUAACUGACGCUGAGACACGAAAGCGUGGGUAGCAAACAGG
rnacentral:rRNA from 1 species